UGUUAAUUCACAGAACUCAAUUAAGGCUUAAUUUAGAGUGGCUCUCGCUCGUCCUAUGCAGAGGAGAGUCCCCUAUUUGAAGGGUCCUCAGGUCCUGAUAAAAAUCCAUAAGAAGAAAGGGCAGGUGGGCCCUGAAGCUGCCCACCAAGAGUUAAAACCUGGAAAGCAGAUUGAAAACAGGUAUGUGGUUCAUAUUGUCAAAACUGUCUUAUCUGAUAUGGUGUAUUUCUAUUUAUAUUGUAGUGACUGUUUUUAAUUUGUGAAACUAUAUUAUAUACAGUAUUUCAAAUUUAACCCUGGUGGGUUUUAGGUGUCUGGGAAAGACAUUUUUUAUUUAUGCAGGCAUUUGGUUAGCUUGACUGGAGGAGAUAUUGUGUCACCCUCAUGCUACUGUAAUCCAUUGUUGUAGUAGUCUGAUUUUUCAGUUUGCUUAUUUGAACAUGUUAUAAAGUUACCAGAUUUUUUUCCAAUGAAUCCAGGGACACUUUUCAACUUUCUACUAAAUAGAUGGAUUUUGUCAGGGGACUGAUUUGUAAAUCUGGGGACUGUCCCUGGGAAACGGGGACAUCUGGUAACCUUAUCAUGUUACACACACACACACACACACACACACACACACACACACUAUGCUGUAACCCACCCUGGGAUUGACGUUACAUACCUUCCAACAUUUCUUUGAAGAAAAUUGGGACAUCCUAUUCAAUAAUAAUAAUAAUAAUAAUAAUAAUAAUAAUAAUAAUAUUAAAUCAAACAAUUGUUAUUAUUUACACCCCAUCUAUCUGACUGGGUUGCUCCAGCUACUCUUGGCAGCUUACAACAUAUAUAAAAACAUAAUAAAACAUCAGUCAUUAAAAACUUCCCUAUAUAGGGCUGCCUUUAGAUGUCUUCUAAAGGCUGUAUAGUUACUUAUCUCCUUGCCUCAGGGGCCACAUAACAAUAGGUUGUAAAUUACAUACCUCAGUAAACAGAACUACAAUGAACACAUGCAAAUGUGAUAUAUAGCUAUGUCUUUUAUUGCUAUGUGCAGGAGUGCCCACUCCCAAUAAAGUCCCUCCUUUCUGUCUGUUGCUGUGGUAAAAGAGCAGAGAGCUUCUCUGUGGAGCUUGCACAGUCAAUCUUGAAUCCAAAGAGCUCCUCCUCUUUUACCUCCAACCAGACUAAUGCUGGUUUGGCAAUCAAAAGAGGAGUGGAGCAUGAAUUCAUGUCUCCUCUUUCCUAGUCAGUAAACUAAUCCAGAAUGCGGCAGUUAGACUGCCGACACCACAUAACACUCGUCUUGAAAGACCUACAUUGGCUCCCAGUACGUUUCCAAGCACAAUUCAAAGUAUUGGUGUUGACCUUUAAAGCCCUAAACGGCCUUCAGUAUACCUGAAGGAGCGUCUCCACCCCCAUCGUUCUGCCCGGACGCUGAGGUCCAGCGCCGAGGGCCUUCUGGUGGUUCCCUCCCUCAUUGUGAGAAGCAAAGCUACAGGGAACCAGGCAGAGGGCCUUCUCAGUAGUGGCGCCCGCCCUGUGGAAUGCCCUCCCAUCAGAUGUCAAAGCGAUAAACAACUACCUGACAUUCAGAAGACAUCUUAAGGCAGCCCUGUUCAGGGAAGUUUUUAAUGUGUGAUAUUUUAGUGUAUUUUUGGUUUCUGUGGAAGCCGCCCAGAGUGGCUGGGGAAACCCAGCCAGAUGGGUGGGGUACAAAUAAUAAAGUAGUAGUAGUAGUAGUAGUAGUAGUAGUCUGCAGGGAUCCAUGGUAAAAGGGGAUUCAAAUCAUUGUGUGUAGGACUUUCUGGCAACUCCCAGGGCUGACAUGGAAACACACACAGUGGAAGAGAGUCUAUUGUUGCCAUGCCACUGGUUGCAUGCUGUGCAUGGGAUGGGGUGGGAAGGUGUUCGGAGGCCUUGCCUCUGUUACUCUGAGUGGGGGAGAGGGCUCCUUCCUUGCCGCUCUUGUCCUCACUGCAGCUCAUGCUUGUUGGCGGCCUAUGGUGUUGCGAGGGACACCAGAGGCACGGCUGGAGUGUGCGUAUUCCAUUCUGUGGUUGGGCUUCUUCUCUGCAACACUUUCCCCUUUCCCACUUCUGCACAGUGAAUGUAUAAAGGGAGGUGCAUAUCAGACCACCACUAGAUCGCUAUAAGUGUCCCCUUCCCACUUCAGGAGUAUAGAGUUGGUCUGCCCAGGCAGGCUUUACAUUCAUCUUCUUUUGAAAUCAACAGGAUUUGAAAGUUCUGAUCUUUGGUUGCAUCAUAAUUUAAAGUGUGUAGCAUUGCAUUCCAAAAUAAAUAAGUAGCUGAACUAAUAGUUGUACUUAAUUUAGAAAGGAGAUGCCUUACUUUAUCUGUAGCCAGCAAGUGAGUUAUAUUGCAGGUUUGGCUGUACUUUGAGACAGUCUACCACUGAAAAGGAGUUUUCUUUUAAAGAAAAACAUUAUUUUUUUCAUUUAUUAUUCACUUCCCCAGAGGCAUCCUGAAGCAAUUUGCAAUAUAAUAACACAUAGAAAACAGUUACAUAUAUAAAGCAGUUAAAACAAUUGCAUAUAUAGUAUAUAUAUUUUUUUAAAAAAGUAAAUACAUAAUACAUAAUAAUAAAAUAAAAAUUAAAAAACCCAAACAAACAGAUGUUAAUAAGAAGCUGAAGCAUUUAAGGUUUUUUCCCAGAGAACUGGAAAUACAGUUUGGAAAAAAAUAAUAAAUGAUUCUAAAUAAAUAAAGUUUGAUGUGAAAACAGACUGGUGAAGGGCCUAACGUUUAAAUUACUGAUGUACUGAAAAUUUAUCUCACUUUCCCCGCCACCCUACAGUCUCCAUAAAUUAAUGAGAAAAUUGGUCCAAAGGCCCAUCUAGUUCAUAAUCGUGUUCUCACAGCUGUCAAUCAGAUGUCUAUGGGAAUUCUGCAAGCAGGACCUGAGUGCAACAUUGCUCUCUUCACUUGUGAUUCCCUGUCAGUACUCUAUUGUCCAUGAGAUAGACUGAGGCAGCCACCUCGGGCAGUGGAUUCUCAAGGGUGGCUCCUCAUUCAUCCACAACCCUGUCACUGCCAGAGAAUUGGGCAGAAGUGGUGGCGGCUUCCAGUGAGGUCUUGCAGAUCUUCACAAGCAUUUUGUGAAGAUCUUGCCAGAAGCCACUGCUACCACUGCGUCUCCUCGGCUUUUCAUGAGUGCUGCCUGCCACCUGCCACUGAAGAAUGAAGGAGAAACAGCUGCAGUGGCAGUUUGGGGAUUUUGGUGAGAUCUCAUGGGGCUCUCACAUCUUCCCACGUCUCCAGUCAUGGGAGGCCGUAUGAGAUCUCACCAGAAACCAUUUAUGCAGCUCCUCUCCUCUCUUCUCUAGUGGGAGGGGCAGGUGCCAACCAUGAAGGCACUGCAGAAGCAAAGAGAAACAGCAACAGUAGCAGCUUCUGGUGAGAUCUUGUCGGAACCCAGAGGUCACAACACAACGCCGGUGUCAAGGCUUUGGUGGGAGGACACCUUCAAAAUACGAUGUGCAGCCCCUGUUCCCAGCAACUGGCAUAUAGAAGUCAAUACUGGAGGGUAGUAUACAGCCAUAGUGUCUAAAAAUAAUAAUUGACAUCUUCAUCUUCCCUUGGAUUUGUCUAAACUCCUUUAAAAGCCAGCCAAGUGUCCAUAUUUCCCUUUUCUCCUAAAUCAUUUCAGCCUGCUCUUCCUUAUGCAAGAUUAAUUGGAAUUGGAUGUUCGUCUUGGAAUCAUAUUCCUGCGUGAUUAUAGCAACAUUAAAACCUGCUUUCUUGGACUGAUCUUGAAUCAAGUAUGUGACACUGCAAUUGACUGUUCAAGUCAGGCUUUAAUUAAGAAUGAAAAAUAAGGUCAGUGUGAUGUUCUUGAGCAGCUGCCUGCUCACACUGAGCAAGUCUCAGAAGUGGUUUUCAGGGCAGUAGCAAUAUUCUGUCUGACUAGAAUAAUGAGAUGUUUUCUGCACUGGAAAUGCUGCGACUUUCACCAUCCUAAGGUUAAAUAAACCAAAAGUCAUGGCCAUUAUCUUGGUUGAAGGAUUCCACAUGAAAUUGUGCAUCAUGAAAUUUCUGACAAAAAUCAAGUGCGUAAGAUCCUAAGAAGAACUUUGUUGAAUCAGGCCAGGGCCCAUCUAGUCCAGCAUCCUAUUCACAGAGGCCAACUGACACCACCUCCAAUACUUCCUUUCGUAGCCUUCCUAUAGAGUUUAUAUCCAGAAAUGACCAUGUCCUAACAGUUCUCUCCACUCCACCAGGUUUCCAUUAUGCAAUGUCUGACAGUGGAUAACUGGAAAAUGUUGAAAGCAAAUAUCUCCUUUGCAAAAUUGAUUAUUCCCACACAUCCAAUGACCAGAAGAAAAGCAGAUGGUUUUAUUCAGCUUUUUUAAAAAAUUAAUAAAUUCUGAGA